UACGGGGGGGGGCAAGCGUUGUUCGGAAUUACUGGGCGUAAAGAGCUUGUAGGCGGUUUGUCGCGUCUGCUGUGAAAAUCCGGGGCUCAACCCCGGACUUGCAGUGGGUACGGGCAGACUAGAGUGUGGUAGGGGAGACUGGAAUUCCUGGUGUAGCGGUGAAAUGCGCAGAUAUCAGGAGGAACACCGAUGGCGAAGGCAGGUCUCUGGGCCACUACUGACGCUGAGAAGCGAAAGCAUGGGGAGCGAACAGG
rnacentral:rRNA from 1 species